GAUGAACGCUGGCGGCGUGCCUAAUACAUGCAAGUCGAGCGAACGGACGAGAAGCUUGCUUCUCUGAUGUUAGCGGCGGACGGGUGAGUAACACGUGGAUAACCUACCUAUCAGACUGGGAUAACUUCGGGAAACCGGAGCUCAUACCGGAUCAUAUUUUGAACCGCAUGGUUCAAAAGUGAAAGACGGUCUUGCUGUCACUUAUAGAUGGAUCCGCGCUGCAUUAGCUGGUUGGUAAGGUAACGGCUUACCAAGGCGACGAUGGAUAGCCGACCUGAGAGGGUGUUGGGCCACAGAGGAGGUGAGAGACGAUACAGGGACCGAGGGGAGGCAGCAGUAGGGAAGGGAGGGAGAUGGGGGAAAGCCUGACGGAGGAACGCAGGGUGAGUGAUGAAGGGCUGCGGAUCGUAAAACGCUGUUAUGAGGGAAGAACAUAUGUGGAAGGAAAGGUGCACAUCUUGACGGUACCGAAUCAGAAAGCCACGGCUAACUACGU
rnacentral:rRNA from 1 species